AAUGGACAGCCACGGGAAAUUAAAAAACAUUCACUAUAGGGAAUUGUCCACUGUUGAAAAAACCUCUACAUUGUGGACAUUUGCGAUAAAUUACAAAACGUCAAUUAUGGGGAGGUGCUAUAGAGAAUUGGUUAUGCAUAUACAUACACAUUAAAAUUGGUAUUAUUUAUUAUAAUUUAAAAAAUGUAUUAAUUGUUUAUUAUAA